rnacentral:rRNA from 1 species
AAGUCGUAACAAGGUCUCCGUAGGUGAACCUGCGGAGGGAUCAUUACACAAAUAUGAAGGCGGGCUGGAACCUCUCGGGGUUACAGCCUUGCUGAAUUAUUCACCCUUGUCUUUUGCGUACUUCUUGUUUCCUUGGUGGGUUCGCCCACCACUAGGACAAACAUAAACCUUUUGUAAUUGCAAUCAGCGUCAGUAACAAAUUAAUAAUUACAACUUUCAACAACGGAUCUCUUGGUUCUGGCAUCGAUGAAGAACGCAGCGAAAUGCGAUAAGUAGUGUGAAUUGCAGAAUUCAGUGAAUCAUCGAAUCUUUGAACGCACAUUGCGCCCUUUGGUAUUCCAAAGGGCAUGCCUGUUCGAGCGUCAUUUGUACCCUCAAGCUUUGCUUGGUGUUGGGUGUCUUGUCUCUAGCUUUGCUGGAGACUCGCCUUAAAGUAAUUGGCAGCCGGCCUACUGGUUUCGGAGCGCAGCACAAGUCGCACUCUCUAUCAGCAAAGGUCUAGCAUCCAUUAAGCCUUUUUUUCAACUUUUGACCUCGGAUCAGGUAGGGAUACCCGCUGAACUUAAGCAUAUCA